rnacentral:rRNA from 1 species
GUGACCUGCGGAGGAUAUUACCGAGUUCGUGCCCUUCGGGGUAGACCUCCCACCCUGUGUGUAUCUGUACGCUGUUGCUUUGGCGGGCCCGCCGUUCGCGGCUACCGGCUCAGGCUGGUACGUGCCCGCCAGAGGACCCCACAACCCUGAAUAUUAGUGUCGUCCGAGUCCUAUAAUAAUCGUUAAAACUUUCAACAACGGAUCUCUUGGUUCUGGCAUCGAUGAAGAACGCAGCGAAAUGCGAUAAGUAAUGUGAAUUGCAGAAUUCAGUGAAUCAUCGAAUCUUUGAACGCACAUUGCGCCCCCUGGCAUUCCGGGGGGCAUGCCUGUUCGAGCGUCAUUGCACCCCUCACGCUCCGCGUGGUGUUGGGCCCUUGCGGGCGACCGCAGGCCCUAAAGCAAGUGGCGGCGCCGUCGGGUCCCGAGCGUAGUAACUUCUGCCGCUACGGGUCCCCGCCGGCGCCUGCCAGCAACCCCCAACUUUUACCAGUUUGACCUCGGAUCAGGUAGGGAUACCCGCUGAACUUAAGCAUAUCAAUAAGCGGAGGAAAAGAAACCAACAGGGAUUGCCUCAGUAACGGCGAGUGAAGCGGCAAGAGCUCAAAUUUGAAAUCUGGCCCUUUCAGGGUCCGAGUUGUAAUUUGUAGAAGAUGCUUCGGGCGUGGUGCCGGUCUAAGUCCCUUGGAACAGGGCGUCACAGAGGGUGAGAAUCCCGUAUGUGACUGGCCACCUACGCCCGUGUGAAGCUCUUUCGACGAGUCGAGUUGUUUGGGAAUGCAGCUCUAAAUGGGUGGUAAAUUUCAUCUAAAGCUAAAUACCGGCCAGAGACCGAUAGCGCACAAGUAGAGUGAUCGAAAGAUGAAAAGCACUUUGGAAAGAGGGUUAAACAGUACGUGAAAUUGUUGAAAGGGAAGCGCUUGCAAUCAGACUUGCGCCUGGGUGAUCAUCCGGGGUUCUCCCCGGGGCACUCGCUCAGGCGCAGGCCAGCAUCGGCUUCGGUGGUGGGAUAAAGGCCCAGGGAACGUAGCCCCUCUCGGGGGGUGUUAUAGCCCUGGGUGCAAUGCCGCCUACCGGGGCCGAGGACCGCGCUCGG